rnacentral:rRNA from 1 species
CAGUAGCCGCGGGAAUACGAAGGGUGCAGGCGUUACUCGGAAUUACUGGGCGUAAAGCGUGCGUAGGUGGUGGUUUAAGUCCGUUGUGAAAGCCCUGGGCUCAACCUGGGAAUUGCAGUGGAUACUGGGUCACUAGAGUGUGGUAGAGGAUAGUGGAAUUUCCGGUGUAGCAGUGAAAUGCGUAGAGAUCGGAAGGAACAUCUGUGGCGAAGGCGACUAUCUGGGCCAACACUGACACUGAGGCACGAAAGCGUGGGGAGCAAACAGGAUUAGAUACCCCAGUAGUCCCUGUCUCUUAUAC